GACGAACCGUGCGAACGUUAUUCGGAAUCACUGGGCUUAAAGCGCGUGUAGGCGGGAGGGCACGUCCGUCGCUGAAAUCCCCCGGCUCAACCGGGGAACGGGCACGGAUACGACCUUCCUGGAGGGGCGUAGGGGGACCUGGAACUUCCGGUGGAGCGGUGAAAUGCGUUGAGAUCGGAAGGAACGCCCGUGGCGAAAGCGAGGUCCUGGACGCCUACUGACGCUGAGACGCGAAAUCGUGGGGAGCAAACAGG
rnacentral:rRNA from 1 species